rnacentral:lncRNA from 1 species
CAAGCCUCUACAGUUAAUUCCAAUUCUUAGUGCUUAAAGUGUGUCAUUUACUUACCUUGCCUUUUGCUUUACUGUGUAUUAAAAUGGGUAGUACUGUUGACUUAACUACCUCACAGAUGUGUUAAGGCAUAUUAAGUUAAAAAUUUUAUGAAAUAUUUCUAAGUUGCAUUAAAAGCUCAAAACUUUGGACCUGUUGUACCACAAGUAUAUGAUACUCAGCAUCUUAAUUAUACCAAGGCUAGAUACGAAUAGUUAACUGGUAAACCAAGUUUAAGAACCUUUAUUCUGGAUCCAGUCAGGCAACACUUGUAGAUCUUUGUGUGGCUCCUGUUGCAACAGAAGUAGGUAAUGAGCAGCUGUUUCAAGGGGUCCUAGCAUUUUUUCCAGCUACUUUAAUUUUUGACUAUAUUGUAGUUAAUACUAUAGAUGUCAUGGGACUAAAGUGGAAAUAAGACCAUUGUUAGAGGGGGAAAAUGCCAUUAAAUUAGGGACUGUAGAGCCACAUUUAAAAUACCUCAGGCUAAAUACUGUUAAUUUUGGGGAUGAAUAUUAAAGGUUUGACAGAGUGGACUAAUUGGGUUGUAAUUACA